rnacentral:lncRNA from 1 species
UGUGUGUGUGUGUGUGUGUGUGAAAUGCAGAGGUGUUCACAGAGUCCAGAAGAGGGUGUCAGAUCCUCUGGAAUUGGAGUUGCCCAGUAUGGAUGAGUAUUGGUGACUGAACUCAGAUUAUCUAGAAGAACAAGGAGCUGAGCCAUCUCUGCAGCCCCUUCCAUUGUUUCUUAAUUCAUACAGAAAUCUUGAGAUGUGAACAGAGGAGCCAGACCUGGUGGUAGAGUCAUAAUCCUAGCACUGGAGAGCAUGAGUCAGAAGGAGGACAAGUUCGAGGUCAGUCUAAGGGAUAUAGAUAGUGCUAGGCCAGUUUGGACCAAAGGACUUAUUGAGCUUCUUUGAAAAAUGUCUUAUUCAUAAUUAUGUGAAAUUUGACUACUUUUUGUGUAGUUCUAAAGUAGAAAAAAGUUGUAAAUUAAAUGUGAGAGUAGAAGAACUAUAAUUAAGAUAUUUAACAAGGAGAGUAGUAAAAUAAAUUAUCCACAACCACCACACAUUAUCGUAGAGCAGCAGCUAACUGCCUAGUACCUAUAGACUCUUAAGAAUAUCAUUAAACGCCACAUAUCAGUCCUGAUGAUAAAUUCACUGUGUAAAUUUUAAAGUAUAUUUGUAAUUUUGAAAAAUCAUAAAAUUGUAGGAAUGUAUAGUAGAGCAGAGAGUAGUAGUUGGCUUUCUUUUGUUUUGUUUGAGGUAGUCUCCUGUAGUCAAGGCUGACUUCAAGUCUGCUUUGUAGUCUACUCCUCCUACCUUCAUCUGAUCCACCUCCCAAGUCCUGGGAUUGCAGGUGUGCUCUACCACACCUGGUGUUCUACUAGUUCUGGAGUCCCAGGCUUUCGGCACGUGGGGCAAGUGUGCUAGCCACAGCCCCAACUUAAGUAGACAGAAACUGUUAGAACAUAAACCUUCAAGUAAAAACUAUCCAAGUGCUCUUUUUUUUUUCCACUUAUUUUGAAAUUUUUUAUGUGUAUGUAUGCCUGAGUGUAUGAAUGAAGACUGCAUGGGUCCACGUGCCUGUGGAGUCCCCAGGAAGCCAUUGGAUCCCUUGGAGCUGAAGUUAAUGAAAACUGGGGUAUGGGUUUGGGAAACUAAACCUGGGUUUCUGCAAACCCUUAACCCCUGAAUCACUCUAGCUCCAGUGCUCAUCCUGUAACUUACAUUUUAUCAUUCCUGUCCUUAAGCAGAAAUGAUAAUAUGAUUUUUAAAGGUUAUUUAGAAGUUUAGAUGACAUAAGUAUAUCUUUAGAACAUACCUGACACCAAAUCCCACUCCAUAAAUGUCAUAUUCUCUUCUUCACUCUGACAACAGAAUAAUUUUAGAUAUACUUAUCUAGACUAUUUGAGAAAGUUCUUUAAACAUUAAUAUUCAAACUACAUUUUAAAAAUCAUUGUACAAGGGGCUGGAGAGAUGGCUCAGUGAGUGGUUAAGAAUACUGGGAGGCAGAGACAGGCAGAUCUGGGUGAGGCCAGCCUGGUGAAAUAGCAUCAGGCCCUGUCUCAAAAAUCAAACAAAUAAAAUGCAUACUACUCUUGCAAAGGACAUGAGUUCUCUAGCACCCAUACUGAGUGACCUACAACUACCUGUAAUUUAAACUCCAGGGGAUCUGACACUCUCUUCUGAUCUCUUCAGGCCCUGCACUCAUAUGUAUAUACUCACACAGAUACACAUAUAUACACAUAGUCUUUAAAAAUUAAGUUAAAAAAAAUCUUUGUAUAGUUUAGGAUUAACUACUGGGUGAGCAAUGGUCAGAAAUUUGUCAGAAGGGGUGGGUGGAUAUGGGGGACUUUUGGUAUAGCAUUGGAAAUGUAAAUGAGUUAAAUACCUAAUAAAAAAU